AUAAUUCUCGGGCGGCGUUUUAGAUUUUAAAAAUUACAUAUAGACAGUUUGACAAUGUUACCGUUAAAAAAUACCGUACACCGUCUAAUACUGUCGUACACCGGCGAUACGCAAAGAAAAUUUAGAUGUAGGUAACACGACUCGUACACGCAGAACGAACGGAACAGUUAGUUAACUAAAACAUUUUCCACUCGUUGCGCUAUAGUUGUACGGCAAAAUGUUUAUUCGUUAUUCACAUCGGUAACUAGGUAUAGGCCGUGUAGCACUCUAGUACUCGCUAACACGACUACUAUGCAAAGUAGUUGCG